rnacentral:lncRNA from 1 species
ACUCUACGUCUUUGAUCUGAAGUGUCGGUAAUCAGAAGUGUCGGUGUUAUUACAUGGUAGAGCCUGAGAAAGAGAGAAAAUAAAACAAAAUGAAAUUAAAUCAUGUAUUGAUUGAACGAGAAAUAUACUAAAUGAAUAAUACACAUGUUGAGAUUCUCUAUAUAUAGAGUUAGUGGAGAAUUAACAAACAAACUACCUACUAACUCUAACUAACUUUUGUUCCCUAAGUGUAUCUCAUAUAUAAAAGAUUGCGGGGAUAUUUGAUAUAGUGAGGUUCAGAUUCAGAUCUGCGAUACCCCACUUCUUUGCAUUUAGUAUGUGUCUGGGCUUCGCCCUUAGGUUCUUUAAGGAAGAAAAAAAACUCUUAACUGAUUUUUAUAAUUCUGAUUUCUAUUAAUACAAGAUGUAUUAUUAUUUUUUUGAGAGUUUGGAAAUGAUGUUACAGUAGUGUCUAUUGUAGUAACUUGUUCUUUUGAUUUGAUCAUUUAGGUAUCUAUCCAUCAUGUGUAUGAAUCCCUGAAAUUUUAAUUACUUAAACUAGCGCAGAAACAAUCACACACUAUCGUAUGUGGAGACACCGUUUUCAACCUGAGUUACAAUGGAAAUCGCCCACCUCAUCAAGAACGGAUAAUAACCAUUUAUUCAGACAAGGCUUUCUACAGCGUUUUCAGAAUCCCACAAUUUUUCUCAAGAUUUCUUGUGAUGGAGACUAUGUUCUGCCCAUUGUUGUAGGUAUUAUGCUAUGCAUCAAUGAUGUAAAUUUGUGUGUACUAGACUUUGAAUUAAACUUUUUGCAGUUGUUUUUAUGGAAUUCUUGUUUUAUUAACUUUGAUUAUUUGUUGCUGCAGGAAAGAUUGCUAUUGAAAAGCUUAUAGAUGCUGAAGCUGAACAAGAAAGUGAGGUAAAUUUUUGAACUGCAUCGCAAUGGUUGUGCACUUAUGCUUUUUUUUGUUUGUGACCGAUUCUUAUAAAAUGGUGGUUAUAUUACAGGAUUGUCCGGAUCGGUUUCAGUUUGUAAAUAACCUAGUUGAAAGACUAGACCAUGAAGUAUGGAGCUAAGCAUUUUCCACUUUUUAUUGAUGACAAUGGAUGUUCAACCAUUUGCUCCAUUUUUUUAUUCUGUUAAUAAUUUUUGCUCAUUCUGAUUCUUGUCUGUUAGGUUUAGUUUAGGCAGUAAUAUUUAUGCAAAUAGCUGCAACAAAAAAUAUUCCACUACAUUAUACCAUCUUUAGAACUUUUGAUUCUUAUGAACUCUUCUUGACAAUGAAAUGUUAUCUCUAUGAGAACCCCCCCCCCCAAAAAAAAAAUUAUAAUCUCUCUCAUUUUAAUAUUCAACACCACUGGCUAAAUCAUACUUUACCCAUUUACUAUGUCAUAGAAUAAAUCAGAAGGUAUUCUACACUAGCUAAUGACCUUUUUGUAGUCUAACUGCAUCAUUGAUCCUUCUCAAGGAAAUUAUGUGAGAUCAUAACAUCAAUACCCAUUGUGUGUUUGUGUUUGACAAGUACCAUACUAAAAAAGAAGCAAUUCGAAUAGUUAUUUGGAUCCUCUUAAAUACAAUUAAUUUCACUUUAGUAAUCUUCCGGUCCUAAUUCUUGUGUUCUAAAGAUGUUGAGUAAUAGUAAUAUUUUCAGUGUCAAAUAGAAGUUGGGUGUCAAGUAAUUUAUCAAGAAGUAUUUCUUAAUUUUACUCUUUCAGGUAUUAAUGGUAAGAAUUACAGAGAGAGUAGUCAGUACUUACUUUGCCAAAUUGUACCUUAGCCAGGUAUUAACAACUUUUAAAUUCUAAAUGAUAAAUACCUUUAUAUUAUGAUUUUUCAUUUAUAAAAGUUCUCAUCAAAUUUUAUAAAUCCUUCAGCCAGGGAAAAGUGAUAUUAUUGGUGUGGAUGCACGUCCGUCAGAUGCCAUUAAUGUUGCAAAUAGAUGCAAGGUAUGAAUUAUGUGGUGACCCUGCCAAUAUUUGUUAAGAAAAAUUGAUUUUUGAAAGGGGAACAUCCGAAGACUAUAACAUAACUGUUCUUAUUUAGAAAUCUUAGUAAUAUGCAUUUUGUGCCAGGAAGUUAUACAAACCCUCUUGUAUGAUUCUAUAUUUGAUCUGUGCAGGCUCCAAUAUAUGUAAGUAAACAAAUUGUUUUCACAGAUGCUAUAAGGCUCGGUUAUGGAAUGGGCAGAGUGCAUAAUAAGAAGGCUAUUUAUGAUGUAUUGCUUGACAGGUAUUGCCUAGUUAUUGUGUCUUACUGUGUCGUGUGUAGCGUCCUUACCACCGUAGGUUCUGUGUGCAAGUUUCCUCCUUUACAUUCUUGGUAUAUCAUUUGAGCCUGAACUUCAUUCGUUUGCUACAGUCCCAUAGAUGGUCCAGAUUCGGUAGCUGAAGAACUAAGUAUGAUGCAUAAUAUGCAUUUAGCUAUCAAACAGGAACGAUUUAACGACGCAGGUAAAAUAUCUUUUCGGUAUGACUGUAUUUAUUUAAUAUUUUUUAUUUUUCAGAUUUUGAGUAUAAGGUCACAACUGUUGGCCUUCUGCAAGCUGGAAUACCUAAAUAUGGGCAGUUUCAUCAAAUAACUUUAGCUUGUUUGCUGGCUUUUGCAGCUAUAUGGAGAGACAAACUUGAAAAUCUUCGUAAAUCAUCUCAUGAGCACUAGGUAUGUCCAAAAUUGUUUCUAGCCACUUCAAUAGUUAGAAUUUGACUUCAAAAAAAUCAAUAGACAAAAUUCUGUGUCUACUUAAUUUCACUAUAUAGUUGCAUAAUUAUGUGUUGAAAUUUUCAGGUGGUGAUGACAGGGUAAGUUCUGAAGAGGAACGUAUGGUUAUCUUUUCCUGAUAAUUUUUCAACAGGAAUAUAUCGAGGCAUAAGUUACAGAAAUGAAGCAAAAUUAUGUGUUGUACAGCUAAGAAUUAGAAUCCUUAACCUCAGUUUGUGUAUAUAAUCAAAUGUAUUGAGGCCUAAAACUUGUGGAAGGUUCUCGUACUUCCACUUAUACUUGUGAAUUGCAACACAUCGAGUAUGUUUGCAAUCCUUGACAUGAUCAUCAAUGAAAUUAUGAAAAGAAUAUAUGGCAUUGCCACUCUCUGAUUAAUGAAUGUAAUAUAAAGUCCUUAACAUUGAUAGUUUUAAAUUAGUAUUUGCUACCCAAUAUCGCGAAUUGGCUAAUGAUCAUAUAUCACUGUCUCAUGUCACUCUUCUGAUCAUAAAGAACUUUUCAUACUGACAGUUACAUGUUAUGAUGUUAUAAAUUCUUGCACGUGAUAGAGGAUGUAAGGGGUUAAGAUGGCCAGAAGCUUUAAACUUAGUCAUCAACUUUUAGAGCCAUGUAGUACUAUUAAGGGAAUUCGCUUGCAAAACAUCAUCAAAUUGGUGUGAUGAAUUAGUUACAGUACACACAAAGUUAUCUAAACAUUACUUGGCUCCAAAGUUUUCUUAUACACACACUUAGCUUAUCUUUCAGUUGGACUUGCGUAUGCAAACCAAUAAGGCUAGCAUUCUGUUACAAAUGCUGCUUUUGAAAAUAUAUAUUGGAUCCAGAUUCCUUCCUUCCUAAACAAAACAUUAAUAUGUAUUGAUCCACAUACAAAAUUUCACAUGAAUGAUAUUGAUGCAUUAUAUAAAAAAGAAUAUAUCUUUAUUUUUAACAUUGAUAUUUUCUUUACAUAAACUAAUCAAAUCUUGUGUUGACGUAUUUUUCAAUCAUAUAUAUCAAUUUUCUUUGGGAAAUACUAACAAGUAUUUUUUAAGAUAUUAAAAGUAAAAGUUUAAUCUUAUAAAUGGUGCAUUCAACUCCUUGAAAUUUUAAACUUUGAUCUUUUUUUCCACUCAUUUUCUGCUACCAUAUCCUAAAACAACAUUUAGUAAUCAUGAUCAACUCCGAUGCUUGUAAAAGCUGUAAAAACUGGAAGCUAGUUCCCCGUUGGCACUAUGCAACCUAAGAACGCUUUAUAAAUAUUUGAGGCUAAUUUUCCAGAUUAUGAUGCAAACUAUAGGAAAUUUAUAAAUGAGGCAAGAAUAGCCUUGGUUUGUAAGAAUAAUAUGGAAUAAUCGAAACUCAAAACUGCAAUUUUUAUUGAUUAGCAAUAAGGCUGUUAAAUUGCCAAUACAAAUGGCAACAGAAAAGCUAUAAAAUAGCCCACUCAGGAAACACUUACAAGAUUUAAUUAAAUAAAACUGCUUCCUAAAGACUAGGACAAAUCGAAAAAAAUAAGACUAAUAUUCCCUAAAUUUUAGCAACAGAAUAAAAAACUAACAAAUAUUCUAUAAUGGUUCUCAUCGUUUUCGUGUAAAAUGAUUGAGUUCCAAGCUCAAACUUUAACGAGUUUUGAACAGAUAUUUAACAAUUAAUUAAUGAUCUUUGGACGUAGUUGUAAACAUAAUCUUUUAUGGUUAGAUACUGCUUUUAUAUAUAUAUCUUGAUUUUUGCACCAUAUACUUGAAAACUCAUAACUUCCUAAAUUUAAUUUUUCUUUCCUAUAAUUGUCACAACGGUUUUAAGCCAAUAAUACGAAAAAGGAGAAAAGUGGCGUAGCCGAAUAGGAAUUAUUAUGCAUAAAAAAUACCAUAAAGUAUUAAAGAAAAAAGAAGAAGAAGAUUAAUAAUGCUUCCAAAAGAAUCUGAAUACUAAUCAUACUUAUGCCAACAAAUUAACAUCAUAAUACAUCUUCUAACAAUAUAGAACCUGGACUUAUGCUCCUUAACCAUCGCAAAGCAUCCACAUCUUCGUGAAUUAACUGAUCCUCCACCACUAUGAUUGUUUUUACGUGAUGCACAUAGACCCAUCCAAAUCAAAUAUCUAAAUCACAUAAACUAUGCAAUAAUAAUUGAAUUAAAUACAGUUUAAACAAAACCGCUUGAUAUGAUAGCUAUGUUUCUUUAACUCUUCUUCGUAAUUGCUUUGAUCUUCUCGAGCUUUUUUCUCUUAAUUUAUCUGUAUCAAAUUUGGGGCUAUAUAUAUAUAUAUGCAUAGGCUAUAGUGGUUUUAUUAUUUUAUAUACGCGCCUAAUAUUAAUACGUUAUUUAUUGUAUAUGCGUGUG